rfam:Citrus sinensis cultivar Ridge Pineapple sweet orange scaffold00194_contig_10, whole genome shotgun sequence.
GUUGCAGAGUCAUUUUGGCAUUCUGUCCACCUCCGUUAAUUCUUUUCUUUUUUGCCCACUUGAAAUCUUAGAUUUGGAGGUGGCUAGCAUGCCUAACAGGCUCUGUGAA